AAUCUCACCCCUGCACUUUGAU
rnacentral:miRNA from 1 species